AGUGAACGCUGGCGGUAGGCCUAACACAUGCAAGUCGAACGGCAGCACAGUAAGAGCUUGCUCUUACGGGUGGCGAGUGGCGGACGGGUGAGGAAUACAUCGGAAUCUACUUUUUCGUGGGGGAUAACGUAGGGAAACUUACGCUAAUACCGCAUACGACCUACGGGUGAAAGCAGGGGAUCUUCGGACCUUGCGCGAUUGAAUGAGCCGAUGUCGGAUUAGCUAGUUGGCGGGGUAAAGGCCCACCAAGGCGACGAUCCGUAGCUGGUCUGAGAGGAUGAUCAGCCACACUGGAACUGAGACACGGUCCAGACUCCUACGGGAGGCAGCAGCGGGGAAUAUUGGACAAUGGGCGCAAGCCUGAUCCAGCCAUACCGCGUGGGUGAAGAAGGCCUUCGGGUUGUAAAGCCCUUUUGUUGGGAAAGAAAAGCAGCAGGUUAAUACCCCGCUGUUCUGACAGUACCCAAAGAAUAAGCACCGGCUAACUUCGUG
rnacentral:rRNA from 1 species